GACGAACGCUGGCGGCGUGCGUAACACAUGCAAGUCGAACGGGAGUAUUGAAGAAGCUUGCUUUAGAGAUACUUUAGAGGCGGACGGGUGAGUAACGCGUGAGGAGCUGUCCAAUGCAGGGGGACAACAGUUGGAAACGACUGCUAAUACCCCAUAAGCCGAGAGGUAAAAGGAUUUAUCCGGCAAUGGAGGUACUCGCGUCCUAUCAGCUAGUAGGUGAGGUAACGGCUCACCUAGGCGAAGACGGGUAGCCGGCCUGAGAGGGCGAACGGCCACACUGGAACUGAGAUACGGUCCAGACUCCUACGGGAGGCAGCAGUGGGGAAUAUCGGGCAAUGGGGGGAACCCUGACCCAGCGACGCCGCGUGGGUGAAGAAAUCCUUCGGGAUGUAAAGCCCUGUUGUAUGGGAAGAGCGGAAGACGGUACCAUACGAGGAAGCCCCGGCAAACUACGUGCCAGCAGCCGCCGUAA
rnacentral:rRNA from 1 species